AACGAAAUGUAUAUAGGGAUAAGUAUAAACAAAAAAUAAAGCCGAACCGCACGCAAGGAUUGGCUACAAUUAGGCGGGCUUUUCAAUUUGCACCAAUCAGUAUAUUUCACAAGUGACAUCUCCUAUUCAUGUUUUCAUUACGACGAAGGAACACGAAGUUCCCUACGUAAUAAGCGCUGAAAUGGUGUGCUCGCAUUAAAUAAUAAAAAUAUAUACCCGCAAAUGGCUGCCGAGUGCCGACGAAGUAAAAUGACACUGUACAUAAACAUAAAGCAGUACCAACUGCAUUAGUAGUACGUAAUAUCCAGUAGUAUUCUAGGCAGUCAAUGUAAAGAAGCAAUGUAGAGUAAACCAAAACUUAUUUACGUUUAGUUAAAUCCAUUUCAAUAUGAAAAUAUAUUUCGCCCGUUGGUACAUUCCUAUUUUUUAAUAAAUAAUAUUUUAUCGAAAGCAAAUGAUGUCUAAGCUUGUAUGAAUGGUAAAAAAAAAAUUGGCGCCAUUGCUAUAAUGUCCAUGCUUAUGUUGACAUCCCAAAGAUAUGAAAUAAUAUUUUACCAGCAGUUCUUGAAAUUAUAGAAGCCAGUCAUUUUAAUCAUUUAUCACUGACAACAGAGGAGUUACCAGAGUGUUAUCAAUUGAGGGAGAGACUAAAUGAGAUGAAGAUGACGAAAAAUGCAUUAUAUGGUUGCACCUAUUUAAAAAAAAGGUGUCGAAUUCAAUUUUUGAACGGAGAUCAAUAUUAAUUGUAAUAGUUUAUACAUUUAAUACUGCUUCAAUUCCGCUUAAUAAAUCUGAUUCCGAAUUUGUAAGAUUUUUAUUUUAAAUUAAUAUAUUGUGGCCUUUAAACUGUAUACGGGUAGUGUGAAAUAAAAUGAACCAAAUCUGGCUGCAGCUAUGUUUAUGAUGUCUUUUCCCGAGUUUGAUAUCAAUUCGAGAUUUUCUUUGUUAAAACUUUUUUCGACUAUCAAUUUCGAUUUGAAGUUGCUACUCUACUGUAUAACUAAGUUUAGCUGUAGGACGUAGAGAUAAUAAAUGAUAAGAGAAAUAAAUUAUUCCAUUUGAAAUUUGAAUAAUUUGCCAUUUCCAUAUAGUCAGAACAGGUGGAACUUAAAGCUUGACAUUUAGCAAUACAAUGCUAUCGUAUCGUUACAGAUAACAGGUAAGUCAUAAAAAGGAGAAAGUUACAAUACAGAAAAAAAAAAUGUAAACAAAAGAAUUUCAAUACUGAGUCGAAGCUGCGCUAAUCGUCUUAUUGACCGGUUGCUGGACGAACUUGUUACCACUCCGUGUAUUGGCCAUCUCUUUCUAUAGGUUUUCGAAUGUUUCCGUGUCGGCCGCUGCGCGUUGAGGGCGCCACUAUAUACUUGUUUAGCGUCUUAUUACGCGACGUUGCCAACUGUAUUGACUUAGGUACGGCGACAGAACGUACGCGCUUUGAGUAGAACUUCUAGCCGGCAGUUUUUUUGUUCAUCAAUAAUAUCGGAGAUCUCGUGUAUAUUGAUAUUGAAUCCACUGUGCGACUUACAAUUACCAUGUGCAAUGUAUAGCUAUAGUGAGUCUUUGUCAUGAAAAUUCCAUUGGUGUGUUAGUGGCCGUGUACUUAGUAAAAACAGGACCGAAAGCGAGGUUAAGUGUUUAUUACUGUUUAAAAAUAAAGGAUAUGGUUUUAAUAUAACCAAAAA
rnacentral:lncRNA from 1 species